rnacentral:rRNA from 1 species
CCUACGGGUGGCUGCAGUAGGGAAUAUUGGACAAUGGAGGGAACUCUGAUCCAGCCAUGCCGCGUGCAGGAAGAAGGCGUUAUGCGUUGUAAACUGCUUUUGACAGGGAAUAAAAAGGCUAUGCGUAGCAAAUUGAAUGUACCUGUAGAAUAAGCCACGGCUAACUACGUGCCAGCAGCCGCGGUAAUACGUAGGUGGCAAGCGUUAUCCGGAUUUAUUGGGUUUAAAGGGAGCGUAGGCGGUUUUGUAAGUCAGCGGUGAAAGUCAGUCGCUCA